AACGAACGCUGGCGGCAGGCUUAACACAUGCAAGUCGAACGCCCCGCAAGGGGAGUGGCAGACGGGUGAGUAACGCGUGGGAACAUACCCUUUCCUGCGGAAUAGCUUUGGGAAACUGGAAUUAAUACCGCAUACGCCCUACGGGGGAAAGAUUUAUCGGGGAAGGAUUGGCCCGCGUUGGAUUAGCUAGUUGGUGGGGUAAAGGCCUACCAAGGCGACGAUCCAUAGCUGGUCUGAGAGGAUGAUCAGCCACAUUGGGACUGAGACACGGCCCAAACUCCUACGGGGGGCAGCAGUGGGGAAUAUUGGACAAUGGGCGCAAGCCUGAUCCAGCCAUGCCGCGUGAGUGAUGAAGGCCUUAGGGUUGUAAAGCUCUUUCACCGAUGAAGAUAAUGACGGUAGUCGGAGAAGAAGCCCCGGCUAACUUCGUGCCAGCCGCCGCGGUAACAC
rnacentral:rRNA from 1 species